rnacentral:rRNA from 1 species
GAUGAACGCUAGCUACAGGCUUAACACAUGCAAGUCGAGGGGUAACGAGAGGAAAGCUUGCUUUCCUUGUCGACGACCGGCGCACGGGUGAGUAACGCGUAUCCAACCUGCCCCCAACUAGGGAAUAACCUUGCGAAAGUAAGACUAAUACCCUAUAAUUUCCUCAGAUGUCAUCUGACGAGGAAUAAAGAUUUAUCGGUUGUGGAUGGGGUUGCGUCUGAUUAGCUUGUUGGCGGGGUAACGGCCCACCAAGGCAACGAUCAGUAGGGGUUCUGAGAGGAAGGUCCCCCACAUUGGAACUGAGACACGGUCCAAACUCCUACGGGAGGCAGCAGUGAGGAAUAUUGGUCAAUGGGCGGAAGCCUGAACCAGCCAAGUAGCGUGCAGGAUGACGGCCCUAUGGGCUGUAAACUGCUUUUAUACAAGAAUAAAGUUAGCCACGUGUGGUUAUUUGUAGGUACUGUAUGAAUAAGGACCGGCUAAUUCCGUGCCAGCCGCCGCAGUAA